UACAGAGGUCUCAAGCGUUAUUCGGAAUUAUUGGGCGUAAAGGGCGCGUAGGCGGCUAGAUGUGUCAAAGGUGAAAUCCCUCGGCUCAACUGAGGAACUGCCUUUGAAACUGUCUGGCUUGAGGCCGGGAGAGGGUAGCGGAAUUCCCAGUGUAGCGGUGAAAUGCGUAGAUAUUGGGAGGAACACCAGUGGCGAAGGCGGCUACCUGGACCGGUUCUGACGCUGAGGCGCGAAAGCGUGGGUAGCAAACAGG
rnacentral:rRNA from 1 species